rnacentral:rRNA from 1 species
CAUUCCUACGGGGGGCAGCAGUGAGGAAUAUUGGUCAAUGGACGAGAGUCUGAACCAGCCAAGUAGCGUGAAGGAUGACUGCCCUAUGGGUUGUAAACUUCUUUUAUAUGGGAAUAAAAUGUUCCACGUGUGGGAUUUUGUAUGUACCAUAUGAAUAAGGAUCGGCUAACUCCGUGCCAGCAGCCGCGGUAAUACGGAGGAUGCGAGCGUUAUCCGGAUUUAUUGGGUUUAAAGGGUGCGCAGGCGGGCUGUUAAGCCGGCGGUAAAAAUUCAGGGCUCAACCCUGUCGAGCCGUCGGAACUGGG